rnacentral:rRNA from 1 species
GUCGUACGGAAAAGUAAUUUUUAGUGGCGAACGGGUGAGUAACACGUGAGAAUCUGCCUUUAGGAAGAGGAUAACAUCUAGAAAUAUUUGCUAAUACUCUAUAUGCUUUACAGUGAAAGAAUUUAUUCGCCUAAAGAGGAGCUCGCGUCUGAUUAGCUAGUUGGUGGGGUAAAGGCCUACCAAGGCGACGAUCAGUAGUUGGUCUGAGAGGACGGCCAGCCACAUUGGAACUGAGACACGGUCCAGACUCUUACGGGAGGCAGCAGUGAGGAAUUUUCUACAAUGGACGAAAGUCUGAUAGAGCAAUACCGCGUGAGGGAUGACUGCCUACGGGUUGUAAACCUCUUUUCUCAAGGAGGAAGAUAUGACGUUACUUGAGGAAUAAGCAUCGGCUAACCCUGUGCCAGCAGCCGCGGUAAUACAGGGGAUGCAAGUGUUAUCCGGAAUUAUUGGGCGUAAAGCGUCUGCAGGUUGAUCUACAAGUCUUUUGUUAAAUUUUCAGGCUUAACCUGAAGCCAGCAAAAGAAACUGUUUAUCUUGAGUAUGGUAGAGGUAAGGGGAAUUUCCAGUGGAGCGGUGAAAUGCGUAGAUAUUGGAAAGAACACCAACAGCGAAGGCACCUUACUGGGCCAUUACUGACACUCAGAGACGAAAGCUAGGGUAGCAAACGGGAUUAGAUACCCCGGUAGUCCUAGCCGUAAACGAUGGAUACUAGAUGUUGCGUACCUUAUUGGUAUGCAGUGUCGUAGCUAACGCGUUAAGUAUCCCGCCUGGGAAGUAUGCGCGCAAGCGUGAAACUCAAGGAAUUGACGGGGGCCCGCACAAGCGGUGGAGCAUGUGGCUUUAAUUCGAUGCAACACGAGAACCUUACCAGGACUUGACAUGAAGAGAAUUUUUUGAAAGAGAAUGUGCUACGGCCUCUACACAGGUGGUGCAUGCUGUCGUCAGCUCGUGUCGUGAGAUGUGGGUAGUCCCGCACGAGCGCACCCUGUUCUAGUGAUCUCUAGAAGACUGCGAUAUAUCGAGGAGUGAGAUGACGUCAGUCAUCAUGCCCUACGUCUGGCUACCACUGCUACAUGGGGUGACAAAAGUGCAGUUGGGAACCGCUAUCUUUGAACCAUCCUUAGUUCGAAUGUAGGCUGCAACUGCCUACUGGAGGGGAAUCCUAGAUUCCAGUGACCCGAAAUGGGGGAUCGUUCCGGCCGUGUAAACGCGGUACCCAUGGGAACGGUUGUUAUCAUCA